GCACAAUCCAGCGCAAUCCUCUCAGAAAUGUGGCUAUGACAGAGCAGGAGCCCUUGGAUAAUAAACGUCCUUUGACUAGAGGAAACUUUGACUUCCUGCUUGCCAAACCACUUCCCCUCUCUCCCUCUAUGAACAUUCUCCCUACCCUCCAGCCUCCUCCCUCUAGGAAAGGCAUCUUGGUUUCCUAGCAUUUCACUUCUCUAAUACAACCACUAACCUCUGCCUGAGUGACUCCUGGGUCCUGAGCCAAGCAGAACUGAAACUUGGACAACCAGCCGGCUGUCCCCCCAAAAGUGGGUAGGUUGAAAUCUUACUGUUUCAACCAUAUACAUGUAUAUAUUUUGUAUUCCUGUUGUUUUUCAAACUGCU
rnacentral:lncRNA from 1 species